AUUGAACGCUGGCGGCAGGCCUAACACAUGCAAGUCGAACGAGUGGCGGACGGGUGAGUAAUGUCUGGGAAACUGCCCGAUGGAGGGGGAUACAUACUGGAAACGGUAGCUAAUACCGCAUACCAUCGGAUGUGCCCAGAUGGGAUUAGCUAGUAGGUGGGGUAACGGCUCACCUAGGCGACGAUCCCUAGCUGGUCUGAGAGGAUGACCAGGCACACUGGAACUGAGGCACGGUCCGGACUCCUACGGGAGGCAGCAGUGGGGAAUAUUGCACAAUGGGCACAAGGCUGAUGCAGCCAUGCCGCGUGUAUGAAGAAGGCCUUCGGGUUGUAAAGUACUUUCAGCUGGGAGGCGUUACCCGCAGAAGAAGCACCGGCUAACUCCGUGCCAGCAGCCGCGGUAAUUC
rnacentral:rRNA from 1 species